rnacentral:rRNA from 1 species
UACGGAGGGGGCUAGCGUUGUUCGGAAUUACUGGGCGUAAAGCGCACGUAGGCGGCUUUGUAAGUUAGAGGUGAAAGCCCAGGGCUUAACCCUGGAAUUGCCUUUAAGACUGCAUCGCUAGAAUUGUGGAGAGGUAAGUGGAAUUCCGAGUGUAGAGGUGAAAUUCGUAGAUAUUCGGAAGAACACCAGUGGCGAAGGCGACUUGCUGGACACAUAUUGACGCUGAGGUGCGAAAGCGUGGGGAGCAAACAGG